rnacentral:rRNA from 1 species
GACGGCGGGUACUAUAAUGCAAGUCGAGCGAAUGGAUUAAGACUUUGCUCUUAUGAUUUAGCCGCGGACGGGUGAGUAACACGUGGGUAACCUGCCCAUAACAGUGGUAUAACUCCGGGAAACCGGGGCUAAUACCGGAUAAGUUUUGAACCGCGUGGUUCGAAAUUGAAAGGCGGCUUCCGCUGUCACUUAUGGAUGGACCCGCGUCGCAUUAGCUAGUUGGAGAGGUAACGGCUCACCAAGGCAACGAUGCAUACCCGACCUGAGAGGGUGAUCGGCCACACUGGGACUGACACACGGCCCACACUCCUACGGGAGGCAGCAGUAGGGAAUCUUCCGCAGUGGACGAAAGUCUGACAGAGCCACCCCGCGUGAGUGAUGAAGGCUUUCAGGUCGUAAAACUCUGUUGUUAGGGAAGAACAAGUGCUAGUUGAAUAAGCUGGCACCUUGACGGUACCUAACCAGAAAGCCACGGCUAACUACGUGCCAACACCCGCGGUAAUACGUAUGUGGCAAGCGUUCUCCAGAAUUAUUGGGCGUAAAGCGCGCGCAGGUGGUUUCUUAAGUCUGAUGUGAAACCCCACGGCUCACCCGGGGAGGGUCAUUGGAAACUGGGACACUUGAGUGCAAAAGAAGAAAGUGGAAUUCCAUGUGUAGCGGUGAAAUGCGUAGAGAUAUGGAAGAACACCAGUGGCAAAGGCGACUUUCUGGUCUGUAACUGACACUGAGGCGCAAAAGCGUGGGGAGCAAACAAGAUUAUACCCUU